GACGUAGGGCGCGAGCGUUGUCCGGAUUUAUUGGGCGUAAAGAGCUCGUAGGCGGUUCGUCGCGUCGGCUGUGAAAACCCGGAGCUCAACUCCGGGCCUGCAGUCGAUACGGGCGGACUUGAGUGUUGCAGGGGAGACUGGAAUUCCUGGUGUAGCGGUGAAAUGCGCAGAUAUCAGGAGGAACACCGGUGGCGAAGGCGGGUCUCUGGGCAACUACUGACGCUGAGGAGCGAAAGCGUGGGGAGCAAACAGG
rnacentral:rRNA from 1 species